rnacentral:rRNA from 1 species
GACGAACGCUGGCGGCGUGCUUAACACAUGCAAGUCGAACGCUGAAGCACCAGCUUGCUGGUGUGGAUGAGUGGCGAACGGGUGAGUAAUACAUGAGUAACCUGCCCUUGACUCUGGGAUAAGCCCGGGAAACUGGGUCUAAUACUGGAUGCUACAUGUCACCGCAUGGUGGUGUGUGGAAAGGGUUUACUGGUCUUGGAUGGGCUCACGGCCUAUCAGCUUGUUGGUGAGGUAAUGGCUCACCAAGGCGACGACGGGUAGCCGGCCUGAGAGGGUGACCGGCCACACUGGGACUGAGACACGGCCCAGACUCCUACGGGAGGCAGCAGUGGGGAAUAUUGCACAAUGGGCGAAAGCCUGAUGCAGCGACGCCGCGUGAGGGAUGACGGCCUUCGGGUUGUAAACCUCUUUCAGCAGGGAAGAAGCCACAAGUGACGGUACCUGCAGAAGAAGCGCCGGCUAACUACGUG